rnacentral:rRNA from 1 species
AGCAGCCGCGGUAAUUCCAGCUCCAAUAGCGUAUAUUAAAGUUGUUGCAGUUAAAAAAGCUCGUAGUUGAAUUUCGGGAUCAAUACGUCGGUCGUGCUUUCGGUACGUACUGUCGUCAUUGGUUUCUCCUUUCUGACGAACCAUGAUGUCAUUAAUUUGGUGUUAUGGGAAGUUAGGACUGUUACUUUGAAAAAAUUAGAGUGUUUAAAGCAGGCAUUAGCUUGAAUACAUUAGCAUGGAAUAAUGAAAUAGGACGUUCGAUCCUAUUUUGUUGGUUUCUAGGAUCAACGUAAUGAUUAAUAGGGAUAGUUGGGGGCAUUAGUAUUCAAUUGUCAGAGGUGAAAUUCUUGGAUUUAUUGAAGACUAACUACUGCGAAAAGCAUUUGCCAAGGAUGUUUUCAUUAAUCAAGAACGAAAGUUAGGGGGAUCGAAGACGAUCAGAUACCGUCGUAGUCUUUAACCAUAAAACUAUAGGCCGAACUAGGGAUCGGAUGAUGUUUAAUUUUUAUGUACU